CCUCCCGCCUGAUCUAAGUCGCAUCUCCUACAAUAAUGCAAUAUCUUGGAUGGAUGCGACGUUUGCUUCCAAUCGGAGCAUGUCCCAGAGCGUAGAUGCCCCACCUUCCCCACCUGCUGCUACUCCAGCUCCUCCUUCUCCGAUUUACGUGGAUGGUGACUCGUACUCGGUGGCAAAGGCAGAUGCAGCCUUAAACAAAAUAGAAGGCUUGCCAGAUAAAGUAGCUGUCACAGCAGCUAUUAAGUUGGUUGAUUCCGUUGACCAUCGGAGGAUGUUUUUGAGUCAGAAGAGUGAGGCUAGGAAGCGGU
rnacentral:lncRNA from 1 species